ACAAAUGAUAGAGAUUUUUCUUGAAGUCAUUUCGUUGUUUGUUUUCCCUUGGAGGGUUGUUGUGAUUCGGUUGGUACCAUUGAGGUUUGUCCAUGUGUCAAUGGGCACUGCUCAUUUUUGUGAAUGUGAAGCAAGCCAUUGGUGAUGUAGUAUGUCUAGGCAAGAUAGAGAUGGUCUUUUAAAGUUAAAGAUGGUCCACUUUCUGC
rnacentral:lncRNA from 1 species